rnacentral:rRNA from 1 species
GAUGAACGCUGGCGGCGUGCCUAAUACAUGCAAGUCGAGCGAACAGACGAGGAGCUUGCUCCUCUGACGUUAGCGGCGGACGGGUGAGUAACACGUGGAUAACCUACCUAUAAGACUGGGAUAACUUCGGGAAACCGGAGCUAAUACCGGAUAAUAUAUUGAACCGCAUGGUUCAAUAGUGAAAGACGGUUUUGCUGUCACUUAUAGAUGGAUCCGCGCCGCAUUAGCUAGUUGGUAAGGUAACGGCUUACCAAGGCAACGAUGCGUAGCCGACAUGAGAGGGGGAACGGACACAUGGGGACGGAGGUAGGGCCAAGACUGCUACGGGAGGCAGCAGGGGGGAAGAUUGAAAAAGGGGGGGAAGGGUGAUGCAGAAACGCAGGGUGCGGGAUGACGGCCGUCGGGUUGUAAACAGCGUGCGCCUGUGACGAAGCGGGAGUGACGGUAAUGGGUAAAGAAGCAACGGCUAACUACGUG